ensembl:ncRNA F43E12.5 ncRNA
GAGUAAAGGGCUAUUGAUAUCAGAUGGCUUCUAUUUCACCCCCAAUCAUUCCCAUCCCCUUGCCCGUCCCGCUCGCAUUAUUCAACCCAUUUUCUUUCGUGCUUUCAAUCACCUAUCAGUGAGUGAGCAGCCAA